GUUUCAGUUCUCUGGAAUCAUUUCUGACAUAGAGAUCUCAAUCGUCAUCUUCAACAUCACAUAAACAUCUUUUUCGUCUCUCAACAUACUUCUGUUUGCAAACAGUUGGAGAAAUCCCUGUGACGUCUUCCAUAUCACUAUAUCUUUGAUGUUGCAAUAUGCUACAAUAUCCCAUUAUGGUAUUGUCGUUUACGCUUUGAGGCUUUGAUGGUUU